rnacentral:rRNA from 1 species
AAUGAACGUUGGCGGCGUGGAUUAGGCAUGCAAGUCGAGCGGCAGCAGGCCCGCAAGGGCGCUGGCGAGCGGCGAAAGGGAGAGUAACACGCGGGUACCUACCCUCGGGACCGGGAUAGCUGCGGGAAACUGCAAUUAAUACCGGAUAAUGUCCCCGGACCAAAGGUGUGAUUCCGCCUGGGGAGGGGCCCACGUCCUAUCAGCUAGUUGGUGAGGUAAUGGCUCACCAAGGCAACGACGGGUACGGGGUGUGAGAGCAUGCCCCCGCUCACUGGGACUGAGAUACUGCCCAGACACCUACGGGUGGCUGCAGUCGAGAAUCUUCCGCAAUGGGCGAAAGCCUGACGGAGCGACGCCGCGUGCGGGAUGAAGGCCUUCGGGUUGUAAACCGCUGUCAGAGGGGAACAAAUUCAUGGGGGUUCUCCCCUGUGUUUGAGUGAUCCUCAGAGGAAGCACAGGCUAAGUCCGUGCCAGCCGCCGCCGUAA